rnacentral:rRNA from 1 species
AUUGAACGCUGGCGGCACGCCUAACACAUGCAAGUCGAGCGGUAACAUGCUUAGUAGCAAUACUAAGUGAUGACGAGCGGCGGACGGGUGAGUAACACGUAGGAACCUGCCCAGGAGCGGGGGAUAACCAAUGGAAACGUUGGCUAAUACCGCAUACAUUCGAGAGAAGAAAGCUGCCGCAAGGUGGCACUCUUGGAGGGGCCUGCGUCCGAUUAGCUAGUUGGUGAGGUAAUGGCCCACCAAGGCGAUGAUCGGUAACUGGUCUGAGAGGACGACCAGUCACACUGGGACUGAGACACGGCCCAGACUCCUACGGGAGGCAGCAGUGGGGAAUCUUGGACAAUGGGGGCAACCCUGAUCCAGCGAUGCCGCGUGAGUGAAGAAGGCCCUCGGGUCGUAAAGCUCUUUAGGCUGGGAAGAAGUGUAUGGUAGGAAAUGACUGUACAUUGACGGUACCAGCAGAAUAAGCACCGGCAAACUCUGUGCCAGCCGCCGCCGUAAUAC